rnacentral:misc_RNA from 1 species
GGACAAAAUAAGAUCUCUUUCUUUUUCACAUUCUAUUUAAUAAUCAAUGUUCAUCCAUGCUCUUAUCCCAUGCAAAUUAUGUUUCUAAUGAUGUUCACAAAUCUGAUUGCAAACACAUACAGGGAUGAAAAAAAGAGAGCAAUUUUAAAUAUGUGAAGAUCAUUGUAGUCUGACUUUUUAAAGGCAGUACAUCACAUUGUGGAAAUCUUCAGAAACUAAUUAU